rnacentral:misc_RNA from 1 species
CUGUGUUGCUUACCAGUUCUAUGGUAUUCGGUGUUUUUGAUGCCUACAUUCGCCUGAUGCCUGUUAUGGUGUUGGGUGGACAAUAGGUUGGCCCCAUGCUCCUAGCAUGCCCUGCAACAUUGUUUGGCUGCCUAGGUGCAUGGGGUCAUGCCCGUUCUUUCGGAUGCUGACCGUUACGUGUGUUGGCGAGGGGUCUUGGCCCAUACUCGUCUGCUUUACACGCACUUGUCCCUUAACACGAACGACCGCCUCACCUGUUUUGGCUCAAGGGGCUACAGCUCUUUGAGGCUCCAUGCAGGUGUUGGUGUCGUGAAGGAAUGCUACCUGGUUGAUCCUGCCAGUAGUCAUA